CCCCCUAGAAGUUUUUUUCUGCUCAGGACGAACGCUGGCGGCAUGCCUAAUACAUGCAAGUCGAACGAGCUUCCGUUGAAUGACGUGCUUGCACUGAUUUUAACAAUGAAGCGAGUGGCGAACUGGUGAGUAACACGUGGGAAAUCUGCCCAGAAGCAGGGGAUAACACUUGGAAACAGGUGCUAAUACCGUAUAACAACAAAAUCCGCAUGGAUUUUGUUUGAAAGGUGGCUUCGGCUAUCACUUCUGGAUGAUCCCGCGGCGUAUUAGUUAGUUGGUGAGGUAAAGGCCCACCAAGACGAUGAUACGUAGCCGACCUGAGAGGGUAAUCGGCCACAUUGGGACUGAGACACGGCCCAAACUCCUACGGGAGGCAGCAGUAGGGAAUCUUCCACAAUGGACGAAAGUCUGAUGGAGCAAUGCCGCGUGAGUGAAGAAGGGUUUCGGCUCGUAAAACUCUGUUGUUAAAGAAGAACACCUUUGAGAGUAACUGUUCAAGGGUUGACGGUAUUUAACCAGAAAGCCACGGCUAACUACGUGCCAGCAGCCGCGGUAAUACGUAGGUGGCAAGCGUUGUCCGGAUUUAUUGGGCGUAAAGCGAGCGCAGGCGGUUUUUUAAGUCUGAUGUGAAAGCCUUCGGCUUAACCGGAGAAGUGCAUCGGAAACUGGGAGACUUGAGUGCAGAAGAGGACAGUGGAACUCCAUGUGUAGCGGUGGAAUGCGUAGAUAUAUGGAAGAACACCAGUGGCGAAGGCGGCUGUCUAGUCUGUAACUGACGCUGAGGCUCGAAAGCAUGGGUAGCGAACAGGAUUAGAUACCCUGGUAGUCCAUGCCGUAAACGAUGAGUGCUAAGUGUUGGAGGGUUUCCGCCCUUCAGUGCUGCAGCUAACGCA
rnacentral:rRNA from 2 species